rnacentral:rRNA from 1 species
AGGGAAGGCGGGGGGCAGGCCUAACACAUGCAAGUCGAGCGGAUGAAGGGAGCUUGCUCCUGGAUUCAGCGGCGGACGGGUGAGUAAUGCCUAGGAAUCUGCCUGGUAGUGGGGGAUAACGUCCGGAAACGGGCGCUAAUACCGCAUACGUCCUGAGGGAGAAAGUGGGGGAUCUUCGGACCUCACGCUAUCAGAUGCGCCUAGGUCGGAUUAGCUAGUUGGUGGGGUAAAGGCCUACCAAGGCGACGAUCCGUAACUGGUCUGAGAGGAUGAUCAGUCACACUGGAACUGAGACACGGUCCAGACUCCUACGGGAGGCAGCAGUGGGGAAUAUUGGACAAUGGGCGAAAGCCUGAUCCGUCCAUGCCGCGUGUGUGAAGAAGGUCUGCGGAUUGUAAAGCACUUUAAGUUGGGAGGAAGGGCAGUAAGUUAAUACCUUGCUGUUUUGACGUUACCAACAGAAUAAGCACCGGCUAACUUCGUG